rnacentral:rRNA from 1 species
UACGGAGGAGGCAAGCGUUAUCCGGAAUUAUUGGGCGUAAAGCGUCCGCAGGUGGCACUUCAAGUCUGUCGUCAAAGACUGGGGCUUAACCCUGGAAAGGCGGUGGAAACUGAAGCGCUAGAGUGCGGUAGGGGUAGAGGGAAUUCCCGGUGUAGCGGUGAAAUGCGUAGAGAUUGGGAAGAACAUCCGUGGCGAAAGCGCUCUGCUGGACUGCAACUGACAUUGAGGGACGAAAGCUAGGGGAGCGAACCGG